rnacentral:rRNA from 1 species
UACGGAGGGUGCAAGCGUUAUCCGGAUUCACUGGGUUUAAAGGGUGCGUAGGUGGGCAAGUAAGUCAGUGGUGAAAUCCCCGAGCUUAACUUGGGAACUGCCAUUGAUACUAUCAGUCUUGAAUACCGUGGAGGUCAGCGGAAUAUGUCAUGUAGCGGUGAAAUGCUUAGAUAUGACAUAGAACACCAAUUGCGAAGGCAGCUGGCUACACGGAUAUUGACACUGAGGCACGAAAGCGUGGGGAUCAAACAGG